CAUCAUGAACAAUGGGGCUGGGUACCGGGGCACCAUGGCCACGACCGUGGGUGGCCUGCCUUGCCAGGCUUGGAGCCACAAGUUCCCGAAUGAUCACAAGUGAGACAAACACCUUCCCUCUGUCCCGGCCUGGGGCCUUCCCCCAACACACACUAUAGUGAUGCUCUGGGCCCUCAGGUACACGCCCACGCUCCGGAAUGGCCUGGAAGAAAACUUCUGCCGUAACCCUGAUGGCGACCCCGGAGGUCCUUGGUGCUACACAACAGACCCUGCCGUGCGCUUCCAGAGCUGCGGCAUCAAAUCCUGCCGGGAGGCCGCGUGUGUCUGGUGCAAUGGCGAGGAUUACCGCGGCGCGGUAGACCGCACGGAGUCAGGGCGCGAGUGCCAGCGCUGGGAUCUUCAGCACCCGCACCAGCACCCCUUCGAGCCGGGCAAGUUCCUCGAUCAAGGUCUGGACGACAACUAUUGCCGGAAUCCUGACGGCUCCGAGCGGCCAUGGUGCUACACUACGGAUCCGCAGAUCGAGCGAGAGUUCUGUGACCUCCCCCGCUGCGGGUCCGAGGCACAACCCCGCCAAGAGGCCACAACUGUCAGCUGCUUCCGCGGGAAGGGUGAGGGCUACCGGGGCACAGCCAAUACCACCACCGCGGGCGUACCUUGCCAGCGUUGGGACGCGCAAAUCCCGCAUCAGCACCGAUUUACGCCAGAAAAAUACGCGUGCAAGUGAGGUGGGGGGGGGGCGGGCGUUGGGACGUGCUGCUGCGGGUGAGACGGGAGGAGGGUAGUCACCGGCUUAGGGCUGGAGGCUGGCGGGCUAGGGCUGAGUGGAGCGCCUGCUUAGAGACCUUCGGGAGAACUUCUGCCGGAACCCCGACGGCUCAGAGGCGCCCUGGUGCUUCACACUGCGGCCCGGCAUGCGCGUGGCCUUUUGCUACCAGAUCCGGCGUUGUGCAGACGACGUGCGGCCCCAGGACUGCUACCACGGCGCAGGGGAGCAGUACCGCGGCACGGUCAGCAAGACCCGCAAGGGUGUCCAGUGCCAGCGCUGGUCCGCUGAGACGCCGCACAAGCCGCAGUUCACGUUUACCUCCGAACCGCAUGCACAACUGGAGGAGAACUUCUGCCGGAACCCAGAUGGGGAUAGCCAUGGGCCCUGGUGCUACACGAUGGACCCAAGAACCCCAUUCGACUACUGUGCCCUGCGACGCUGCGCUGAUGACCAGCCGCCAUCAAUCCUGGACCCCCCAGACCAGGUGCAGUUUGAGAAGUGUGGCAAGAGGGUGGAUCGGCUGGAUCAGCGUCGUUCCAAGCUGCGCGUGGUUGGGGGCCAUCCAGGCAACUCACCCUGGACAGUCAGCUUGCGGAAUCGGCAGGGCCAGCAUUUCUGCGGGGGGUCUCUAGUGAAGGAGCAGUGGAUACUGACUGCCCGGCAGUGCUUCUCCUCCUGCCAUAUGCCUCUCACAGGCUAUGAGGUAUGGUUGGGCACCCUGUUCCAGAAUCCACAGCACGGAGAACCAGGCCUACAGCGGGUCCCAGUAGCCAAGAUGGUGUGUGGGCCCUCAGGCUCCCAGCUUGUCCUGCUCAAGCUGGAGAG
rnacentral:sRNA from 1 species